GUGUAGCUCAGUGGUAAUGCCCAAGCUUUACGUGCCUGAGGCCCUGGGUUCAAUCCCCAGCAC
rnacentral:tRNA from 1 species